GGCACAAAAAGAAGGCCUUACACGGUGUGCCCCAAAUGCAGUCAAUCUAUACCUGAAGUUGCACUGAAUGGUUUUGCUCGCGUAGCGGGCAGCAGGGGAAAGCAAACAUAAUAUUAAGAUCCACCAUCGAAAAGACCAGGUAAAGGCGGGCUGGUGGAGUAAAGCUCGAUUUGCUAGAGACGUGUAACCAAAUAUAAAUUAUAGGUACGUUAUUGUGGUAAAAUUAGAGCUAUCUAACCAAAUAUUUUAGCUAUUACAUUAUUUGUCUCAUUGUAGUUUACUAAUUUAUUAUUACUUCAACGGUUAUUUAAUUCAAACGAUUACUUCAAUAAAUUAAACUUAUUCAUUUGUGUUUUA